UAAUUGGAAGCUUGAAAGGUGACGAACCUUGCUAUAUCUUUUAUGAUUUUCACUUCAAAAAAGGUGAUAGGCCCCAAGAGAAAAUAGCAUUAAUCUUCUGGUGUUUGGAUUCAGAAGCCCCACGUGGACUAAAGAUGACUUACGCAUCAACUAACAAGGCUGUCUCAGAUGCGGGCAAUGUCAAUAACUUCAAAUUUGAUUUUCGUGACAGAGAUUCAUACAACUAUGACUCUAUCAUAUUAGAACUUCAGCAAAAAAUACACUAAUCAUACUUGUUUGGUUGAUUGUUCCUUUAAGGAAAUAAUGCAUCAUUGUAUUCCAAGUUACAACAAAAUGUAAUCUUCAAUACCUUAGUACCUACAUAGAGCUUAAAAAAUUGUGCCUGUUUCCAUAUCAGAAAUGUAUUUCUAACAAAUGUAAAUCAAAGCUUUGAUUAUUAUUGUAAUAUGCAGAGACAGUACUAAACAGUCCUGGAAGUGUGAACGUUUGAUUUUUUUUUCUGUCAUAAUGUUGAACAUUCAUAACAAUAUUGAGAAGAAGAUGUACUUUUGCAGUCAUUUAAUUCCUUCCGUGAAAAUGAAAUGUACAGCUAAUUAAAAGUGAUCAAGAUUGUUGACUCUAAGACAUUUUAAAUCCAGAAUCAAACUGUUGUUUGUUGCCCUCUAUCAACAGGGCAGCCAACAUGCUGCCACGCCGGACCUAAGCCUUACUAAUACAUUGUGCUGAAACAAUUCAUCGAAUUAAAUCGAAAGUUAAGGGACCUUUUUCUCUCGCAACGUUCAGAAAUUGUAUCUAGAAAAAACUUAUUUCUUUUGGAAAUACAUUAUUCCUGACAACACAUUGGAAGAUUAUGUCACAAAGCAUUGCUACUUGAUUUCAUAAUUAGAAAUUGACCAAUGAAAGCAUGUACAGGGUGUUACCCACUAGUGGGUUACCAGAAAUGUUUACCAACUACACUUUGAUCCAUUGAAAAAAGAGUGAGGAACCCUAAAGUUGUUGCGAGAGAAAGAAGUUAGCCCAAGAAGUUAUAUGUAUCGGAUGGGGGCAGCAAAUGUUAUACCUAAUACUGGAGUAUUAGGUCUCACAAACAAAUCAAGGGACCAACAAAUGUAAAUUUUCUUCUGGAGUGUAUUUGUAUAUCAUAACAUAUUAAGCUUUAUUAAAAAAAAUUGCAACCUGC